AAAAUGCGAUACUUGGUGUGAAUUGCAGAAUCCCGUGAACCAUCGAGUUUUUGAACGCAAGUUGCGCCCGAAGCCAUCCGGCUGAGGGCACGCCUGCCUGGGCGUCACGCAUCGCGUCGCUCCCCACCAUACCUCCCCUACGGGUUGGCAUGGUGUUGGGGGCGGAUAAUGGCCUCCCGUGCUUGUGUUUCGGUUGGCCUAAAUAAGAGUUCCCUUCGGCGGACACACGACUAGUGGUGGUUGAAUAGACCCUCGUCUUUUGUUGCGUGUCGUGAGCUGUAAGGGUAGCCCUCAUCAAAGACCCCAUUGUAUCGUCUUCGGAUGAUGCUUCGACCGCGACCCCAGGUCAGGCGGGACUACCCGCUGAGUUUAAGC
rnacentral:misc_RNA from 1 species